rfam:Populus trichocarpa scaffold_2_contig_94, whole genome shotgun sequence.
UCUAGAACUCGAGAUAUGGGUUGAACACUGAACAGUGUGUGGGCUGCAGGACAGAUUCUGACUUCUCUGUUGAUGUUGAGAUUUGGACUUGCAAAUAGCAGAAUUGAGUCUUGAACUCCCAUGAAUGUUUUAGGCCUAUGUCUUAGCUUUCUAGC